rnacentral:lncRNA from 1 species
CUCAUUACUUGCAAACCCUGUUUUGUACAGCAACCUCUUGUAUUUGUUGAUAUUAAUCUGUGAGGCUGUGAAUUGAUACUGUUCCAUUGCAGUAAUACAGAGGAAAGAAUAAUCAAAGAUAUCGAAUAUCAAAGAAUUUGGGGGAAAUGUCGACACUCUAACAAGGUGAAACUCAUACCAUUGUAAGUUAUCAAUAACGCCAUCUCGCAUCUAUUCUCUGUGUGGAACCAACAUCGACUGGGCAAAGUUUUCAACAAGAGUAGCUCUCCAAACAUCCAUUCAAAGCUAAUGGAGCCGAAAAGGAGUGUCUCUACUGACGGAUACCAUGGAAAACGCACCAAAUCCAGAUCCAAUACCAAUAGUCAUAUUGGUACAGAAUUCCUUGGAAAGCGCUUGUUUCUCUAGUGGUGGACAAUACACAGUAUUAAACAAUAUCGAUGUUCCAUUAAAUAAUGCGAAUUAAGAAAACAUG